GCCUCCCUCCGCGCCCAUCAGACUCCUACCGGGAGGGCCGGCCGAGUGGGGAAGUCGUUGCACAAUGGAGGAAACGUCUGAUGCAGCGACGCCGCGUGAGCGAUGAAGCCUUCGGGUGUAAAGGCUCUUUCGGCAGGGAAGAUUAUGACGGUACCUGGCAGAAGCAGCUGCGGCUAACUACGUGCCAGCAGCCGCGGUAAUUC
rnacentral:rRNA from 1 species